rnacentral:other from 1 species
CUAUUCCUGCGAUGUACGUGACGGCGUUUUAUUGUUUUGAACCAAUGUUUGUUUCAAGGGAGCUUUAUAUUGCCAACCGGCUGACAUGCCCCCGAAAAGGGACGUCAAAAGCUUGGCUGCGGGCACCCACCUGCUAAAGCAGGUUCAGAAACAUGCACGUCGAACGGCAUAAGCGGGUUUUUU